GCCAAGUUGUUUGCAUGCAAACUGUCUUUUGGGAGACAACAACUAUCUGGAUUCUUAUCAGAGUUUGCAUAUUAUCAUUUUAUACAAGAGGAAGAAACUAACAUCAUGUUAAAUGAAUGGUGAUAAAAGCAUGUAGUUCCCUACUUCAACUUUUGACAUCUUCAGUUUCUUAUUAAAAAACAUUAAGGCGUAGAAUUCACAAUGUUGCCAGUACAGAAGGAAUAAUCUUUGAAGUUUAAGUUAGUCCUCCAGUGUUUGACCUUUUCAAAGGUUGUGUCACUCAU
rnacentral:misc_RNA from 1 species